rnacentral:rRNA from 1 species
AUUGAACGCUGGCGGCAUGCCUUACACAUGCAAGUCGAACGGUAACAGGUUAAGCUGACGAGUGGCGAACGGGUGAGUAAUGUAUCGGAACGUGCCCAGUCGUGGGGGAUAACUGCUCGAAAGAGCAGCUAAUACCGCAUACGACCUGAGGGUGAAAGCGGGGGAUCGCAAGACCUCGCGCGAUUGGAGCGGCCGAUAUCAGAUUAGGUAGUUGGUGAGGUAAAGGCUCACCAAGCCGACGAUCUGUAGCUGGUCUGAGAGGACGACCAGCCACACUGGGACUGAGACACGGCCCAGACUCCGACGGGAGGCAGCAGUGGGGAAUUUUGGACAAUGGGCGCAAGCCUGAUCCAGCCAUGCCGCGUGCGGGAAGAAGGCCUUCGGGUUGUAAACCGCUUUUGUCAGGGAAGAAAAGGUUCUGGCUAAUACCUGGGACUCAUGACGGUACCUGAAGAAUAAGCACCGGCUAACUACGUG